rnacentral:rRNA from 1 species
GCGCAUGCCACGCUUUUGACAGCUGGUCUCGGCUAUCGCUUACAGAUGGGCCCGCGGUGCAUUAGCAAGUUGGUAGGGUAAUGGCCUACCAAGGCAACGAUGCAUAGCCGACCUGAGAGGGUGAUCGGCCACACUGGGACUGAGACACGGCCCAGACUCCUACGGGAGGCAGCAGUAGGGAAUCUUCAGCAAUGGACGAAAGUCUGACGGAGCAACGCCGCGUGUAUGAAGAAGGUUUUCGGAUCGUAAAGUAAUGUUGUUAGAGAAGAACAAGGAUAAGAGUAACUGCUUGUCCCUAGACUGUAUCUAACCAGAAAGCCACGGCUAACUACGUGCCAGCAGCCGCGGUAAUACGUAGGUGGCAAGCGUUGUCCGGAUUUAUUGGG